UACGUAGGCAGCAAGCGUUGUUCGGAGUUACUGGGCGUAAAGGGUGCGUAGGCGGCCCUGUAAGUAUGGUGUGAAAUCUCCCGCUUAACUGGGAGGGUGCGCCGAAUACUGAGUGACUAGAGUGCGGGAGAGGAGAGUGGAAUUCCUGGUGUAGCGGUGAAAUGCGUAGAUAUCAGGAGGAACACCGGUGGUGUAGACGGCUCUCUGGACCGUAACUGACGCUGAGACACGAAAGCGUGGGUAGCAAACAGG
rnacentral:rRNA from 1 species